GCACGUAGUUAGCCGCAGCUUCUUCUGCAGGUACCGUCAUCAUCGUCCCUGCCGAAAGAGCUUUACACCCCGAAGGGCCUCAUCGCUCACGCGGCGUCGCUGCAUCAGGGUUUCCCCCAUUGUGCAAGAUUCCCCACUGCUGCCUCCCGUAGGAGUCUGGCCCGUGUUUCAGUGCCAGUGUGGCCGUGUGCCCUCUCAGGCCGGCUACCGAUCUCAGCCUUGGUGAGCUCUUACCCCACCAACUAGCUAAUCAGCCGCGGGCUCCCCUCUCGGCGACUUUCGCCUUUCCCUUUACAGGCUUAUGCGGUAUUAGCUCCGGUUUCCCAGAGUUAUUCCCCACCCAGAGGUAGAUUACCCACGUGUUACUCACCAGUACGCCACUUUACUCAUGGAUUGCUCCACUUUCUCGUUCGACUUGCAUGUGUUAAGCGCGCCGCCAGCGUUGAUU
rnacentral:rRNA from 1 species